CCGAUUAAAUUAAGCCACACUUUGUUUUGAUUUACAUGAUAAUAUAAUAGAAAAUGCAUUGCAUAAAAUAGCGAUUACCCUGUUUGGUUCAUUUGUGAAUCGUGUUACGUGGUAAACUCUGAUGUUCACAUAAUCUAUACUUCUACCUAAUUCAGCAAUUCGUUUACUGGCAAGAAGUGAUGCAAGCAAAAGAACGCUCGUUGAAAUGGGUGCGUAUACGGUUUUGGUGUCACUUGCAAAAACAGAAGAGAAGGAGGAAAAAAUGGAGAGUAUACAAUCCAUUUGGGUACUUUGUUUUGACAAAGAAAACAAGUGAGAAGUCGUAAAUUCAGAGGAACUUGGCAUUGUGGAUCUUCUUACUGACCUUCAAGGACACGAAGACAAAGAUAUUGCUCAUGCUUCUCAAAACGUUAUGUGGACAUUACGCGAUGCAUUAGCCACUUCAAACGUGAAACGGUACCGGGAUCUAGCUGACAGAGGGACAUACCUAGCAACAGGCAGACAUUCCUAUCUACAAAUAAAAGAUAGUUGCAGUUAUGCACGUGAGACAAGCACCAGUGUGUUGGAAGCGGAAGAACGCGUAU